GGAAUUAUUGGGCGUAAGCGCGCGCAGGUGGUUUCUUAAGUCUGAUGUGAAAGCCCACGGCUCAACCGUGGAGGGUCAUUGGAAACUGGGAGACUUGAGUGCAGAAGAGGAAAGUGGAAUUCCAUGUGUAGCGGUGAAAUGCGUAGAGAUAUGGAGGAACACCAGUGGCGAAGGCGACUUUCUGGUCUGUAACUGACACUGAGGCGCGAAAGCGUGGGGAGCAAACAGGAUUAGAUACCCUGGUAGUCCACGCCGUAAACGAUGAGUGCUAAGUGUUAGAGGGUUUCCGCCCUUUAGUGCUGAAGUUAACGCAUUAAGCACUCCGCCUGGGGAGUACGGCCGCAAGGCUGAAACUCAAAGGAAUUGACGGGGGCCCCCACCAGCGGAGGAGCAUG
rnacentral:rRNA from 1 species